CCCUUAGAUGUUCUGGGCCGCACGCGCGCUACACUGAUGAAUUCAACGAGCUCCUAACCUAGGCCGAAGAGUCCGGGUAAUCUUUGAAAUUUCAUCGUGAUGGGGAUAGAUUAUUGCAAUUAUUAAUCUUCAACGAGGAAUUCCUAGUAAGCGCGAGUCAUCAGCUCGCGUUGAUUACGUCCCUGCCCUUUGUACACACCGCCCGUCGCUCCUACCGAUUGAAUGGUCCGGUGAAAUGUUCGGACCGCGACAAGGCGGACGGUUCGCUGUCAGCUUUGCUGCGGGAAGUUCAUUAAACCUUAUCAUUUAGAGGAAGGAGAAGUCGUAACA
rnacentral:rRNA from 1 species